rnacentral:misc_RNA from 1 species
GAGUAUCAUGUUCUUACGGGUAGAUCUCUAUUUUUGAAUAACAUACUUUUGUUGUUUUGGUAGGAUGUACUCGUGCUAGGGGCUUCGGCUCUUGAGUGCCUGCCAGAGGACCACAACUCUUGUUUUUAGUGAUGUCUGAGUACUAUAUAAUAGUUAAAACUUUCAACAACGGAUCUCUUGGUUCU